AAAAGGUUUGGUCCUAGCCUUAUCAUCAGCUUUUUCUUAAAUUACACAUGCAAGUCUCAGCACACCAGUGAGGACACCCUUAAACCCUUCGCCAGGCUAAGGAGCCGGCAUCAGGCACGACUUCUGCCCAUAACGCCUAGUCCAACCACGCCCCCAUGGGCACUCAGCAGUGAUAUACCUUGCCUAUAAGCGACAGCUUGACUCAGUUAAAGAAUAAUAGAGCCGGCCAACUCGGUGCCAGCCGCCGCGGCUAAACCGCACGGGCUCAAACUGAUGAUUGUCGGCGUUAAGCGUGAUUAAAGUUUUUAUCAAUUAGAAUAAAAUCUAUACUUAGCCGUGAAAAGCUUGACAUAGGGAGAACCAUAAACGAAAGUUAUUCUAAUAAUUACUUGAAUACACGAC
rnacentral:rRNA from 1 species